AACUCGCCUGCAUGAAGUCGGAAUUGCUAGUAAUCGCGGAUCAGCAUGCCGCGGUGAAUACGUUCCCGGGCCUUGUACACACCGCCCGUCACACCAUGGGAGUCGGUAACACCCGAAGCCGAUAGUCUAACGAAAGAGGACGUCGUCGAAGGUGGGAUUGAUGACUGGGGUGAAGUCGUAACAAGGUAUC
rnacentral:rRNA from 1 species